rnacentral:lncRNA from 1 species
UGGUAAAUUGAGGCUUAGUAAUCAAUAAUCCUGUGUUUUGUGAAAAUUAGAAAAAUUCUAACAAUAAUUACAGGUCACUAAUGGAGCCAAAAUGAUCAGUGUAUGAUUGCCCUAGUUUACUGUUUAUUUCUCCUGUGUUGUUAAGAUGUUUACUAUUUCAUGUGUGCAAUAAAUUUCUAGUUUAAAAUGUGUUCUCGAUUACUUGAUUUAUUUGGUUCUCUUGCACUGUUUAUUUGAUUAUCUAGUUACUGAUUAUUUGGUUAUGUUUAAACUGUAUCACUUGUUUAGAUGUCGUUUAAAUUAAUCUGUGAAUAUAUAACGAGAUAUUGGUACG